UACCCCGUAAGUUCAGGUGCCGUUUAGUACAACGUGUCCGGUAGAGAAGGACCGGAGUUACAGAAAUAAAGAUAUUGGAUAUUAAAGAAAAGGAUAAUAUGGAGUAAGACGUAUAUGUUUGAGGAUUAGAAUAAGAAAAUAAGGAAAAAUAUCAAGAAAAGUCACAAACUUUAGAUCAGGGACUAAAGUGGUAAUUUAACCAGUUAAGUCCGAAAUUGGAAUUAUUUCGCCAAGGUCCGCGAAAUGUUUUAUAGUAUUGGUGGUAAAAGUUUCAGGUCAAUCGGAGACCUUUUAAAAUUUGGACGCGGAUUCAUUUUGGGCUAAAUUGUCAAUUUUGAAGAAUUCAAGGAUCAAAGUACAAAUUAGCCAAUUUAGCCUCGAGAAUAGUAAUUGGAAGAUUAUCGACGAGAAUAAUUAUAUUUGGAGUAGUAUUGUUUAUUUGGAUAUAAAUAAUACGUAGAUAAUCGAGUUAAAAGGAUAAUUUAACCGUUUGGUUAAAUUAGAAAGUUUAAAAGAGAAAUGGUUUAAGUUAAAGAGAUGAAGGAUCAAAAUGGACAAUUAGCCAAGAUAUAUAUGAUAACUUUCCUUAAGAGUAAGGAAAGGAAGUAAUGAUCAGAGGAAGCGAAAGUUACAGAAGCUUUCGACGAUCGAUUACGAUCCGUCGCCGUUUCGCCGUUUCUCGUCCAAAUCGCGCGUUCUUUAUAUCGAUUUGUUCGGAAUUGGAAGCUCUAUCAAUCAUAAGCUUCAUUUCAAGGUAAGAUUUUGGAUUUGAGUGUUAAAAUCGGAGGUUACGGGCUGUUUCGACGAAAAAUGCUAUGUUUGAAUCGAAACGCUAAAAACACGUCGUUUUCCACCAUUUUCGUAUAGAUUCUUGAUAAGUUUUGAGCCUAGAUGAUUUAGGUAUGCAUUGGUAUGAAUUUUGGGGUAUUUGGAGCUUCGGAAAUGGUCCAGAAGCAUCAAAAAACGCUGCCCCCAAAGUGCGCACGACGUGCUGCACUUCAGCACGUCGUGCUGGUGCGCGACGUGCACCAGAAGGGUGCACGACGUGCACCACAAGGGUGCACGACGUGCACCAGUGAAGGGCACGUCGUGCCCUUCAUGAAAAAUGAAGGGCACGAGGUGCCAAGCUAGCACGACGUGCCCUACUUCGAUCGUGACCUCCGGGGGACUUCCGGGAGCGAAAAUUGGCCUCUGAUGGCAUGAUAUGGGCGUAGAACUCUGACAAAUGUCUUAAAAUGAAUAUUAAUAAGACAUUAUAGCAAUGAACAUUAACAUGAUGAGUAAUAGAGAUAUGAAUAGAGAUCUAUAGAGAAAGAUACGUUUAGAACACGACGAUUAUAUUUCGUGCUUUUGUCGUGUUAGGUACCUAGUGCAGUUUUUAAGAACAAGAUUCUCUAAGUAUAUAUUUUAACGAUAGAAUCCUGUGAUAGAUGUGACGGACUAUCGAUCUACGAGUAUGACGAACCAAGAAGCUCGACGAGGAUUGACGGACCAGUCUCCUGGAGCUUACGUUUGGAUAUAAGGAAUAGCGAUCGUUGUGUUUAGAGUCGGAUCAGACAGACCGUCUUUGGUGUGCUGAGUACGAGUCCCCUUGGUGCUGCAGUAGUAUACGUAUGACGAGUCUUAGCAUAGAAUAGUCAGGUCUUAUAGGUUGUGUACAUAUUUAAUGUUUGUUUGAUGUGACGUCUUUUGGUUGUCAGUUUUGUAUUGAUCGAUAGACGGGCUAGUACGUACAAGUUACGGAAGUGAGAUGCCCACUAUGGUUGUAUCGAUGAUGUGAUAUAUAUGAUGUACGUUAUGAUUGUAAACGUGUCUUCUUAUUACAUGUUUAUAGGAUAGUUGUGUUUGCGUUUCCGCGAAAAAGUUAGAAUGGUUUUAGGCUUGCUACGGGUUUCGGAGCUACCACUCCCAUUCCCUAGCGCCGGUCUCGGCUCAAUAAUUUGGGUCGUGACAAAGUUGGUAUCAGAGCAGUUGGUCCAGUUACCUCUGCUAAUAUAUGAUUUGAGUGCAGUUAGUCCAUGAUACCACUGCGAGUCUGUGAUUGAUGUUUGUUUGUUCCUAGGUAUUAGGUCAUUAGACUAAGCUAGGAACUACUGCAGCUAUAGAAUUGAGCCAUGUCUGAUCCAAGUCGUUUGUAUUAUUUGUUUUAAGAUCGAGCUGAUUGAUUGUGAAUUUUUGAUUGAUUGAGAAUUCUUGUUUGUUUCAUUAUGAUAAGUAUGAUCGAUGGAUUGUGAAA